GACGAACGCUGGCGGCGUGCCUAAUACAUGCAAGUCGAGCGAGCGAAACUAACAGAUUUACGUCGGUAAUGACGGUAGGGAAGCGAGCGGCGGAUGGGUGAGUAACACGUGGGGAACCUGCCCCAUAGUCUGGGACACCACCCGGAAACAGGUGCUAGUACCGGAUAAGAAAGCAGAUCGCAUGAUGAGCUUUUAAAAGGCGGCGUAAGCUGUGGUAGUGGGAUGGGUCAGGGUUGCAUUAGCUAGUUGGUAAGGUAAAGGCUUACCAAGGCGAUGAUGCAUAGCCGAGUUGAGAGACUGAUCAGCCACAUUGGAACUGAGACACGGCCCAGACUCCUACGGGAGGCAGCAGUAGGGAAUCUUCCACAAUGGACGCAAGUCUGAUGGAGCAACGCCGCGUGAGUGAAGAAGGUUUUCGGAUCGUAAAGCUCUGUUGUUGGUGAAGAAGGAUAGAAAUAGUAACUGGCCUUUAUUUGACGGUAAUCAAACAGAAAGUCACGGCUAACUACGUG
rnacentral:rRNA from 1 species